rnacentral:lncRNA from 1 species
UCUUGCUCCAGUGGCAGGAUGUGAUUCACCAGCAAGGAGAGACACCAAUAAGGCGUCCGAUAAGAGAAAAUCAAAAGCUGUUGAUUCCUUCCAGACUAAUAUGGUUUGAUCAAGCAAGACCCCCUGAAGCUGAGAUGAUACAGCCUUACAGACUACAAAAACAAGGGCUUGGUCAGGUUUCUAUGUUUUAUCAUGAUCCUUAUGGUAUAUGAACAUCGUCCCCAAUCAGCAGGAAGCAGUUUAGAAAGAACGACGCCCAUAUUCCCAAAUAUUGUUUAUAAAUGUUUGUUUUCAUUUAAAUGAGGUUAGUUAUAAAUUAUAAUGAGCAGAGUCAAUCUCCUUUUAAAGAAAGAAAAGGGGAAUAGGAUAUAGGAAUGAAUACUUUGCAUUGGUAUAGAUUUCCAUCUAUUGAUACAACUUUAAGGUCAAUUUUGUGAUAUGUAUAUGUCUCCUCUUGUUUAGGUAUUGUGUUUAUACAGAUAUUUUACCUAUAAUAGUCAGAAUUUAUAAUUAGGUUAGCUAGGUUUUCUAGAUAUAGAGAUGUAUUUAAGAUAGAUAGGUAUUCUUCAAACCUUUCAAAGACCUACAGAAAUAUGGCAUUUAAAUGGUUUAGGGUUUUUCUUGGCAGUGAGACACAACUGCUCCUGGCACACCAAUUAUGUCAGAAAGGAGGAUGGGCAUCGAAGAAACUCGUUUCUUCAUGGCAAGAUUAGCCAUUUGGGCAAGAAACUGCUCUUGCCUGGACUGUUUGUUGCUGUAUAAACUGGACAUGAAGGACCCACAAGAAAGUGACUGCUAAACUUACAAAACAAGACAGGACUUAAGGGUUCCUGUUGAAAUGGAGAAGUGUGCUAGACACACUAUGGCCUAUAGGCUGAAGAUGGAUGCCUCAACAUCACAGAGGAACUUUGGGUGACUGUCCAGGUAGCAAGAUGUCUCUGUCAAUUCUAGAGUUUAUAUAUAGUAUCCGUCUAUGGUCUUUGAUGGAAUUGAAGACAGAUAGUUAUGGUUAUAGUUUUCUUCAGUUAUUAUAAAACAUAAGUUACCCUUUUUAUUUAGACAGAAAAGAGGAGAUGAUGGGGGAAAUACUUCUGUGUAUGUUUAUCUUAUUGAUUGUUAAAUAAAGUACUUGCUUGGCCAAUGAGACAGCAAGUAAGGCUGGACUAGGAGUCAAAGAAGACUCUGGGAAAUGUAGUAGAGAAGUGGUGUUCCAGGCAGGAAGUGACAUAGCAAGGAGACUCAUAUUUAAGAAGAGGAAAAAGGAAGUGUUGCUCUCUUUUCCCGUUCCUGCUCCAGUGGUGGGAUGUGAUUCACCAGCAAGGAGGGACACCAAUAAGGCGUCCGAUAAGAUAAGUCUUAUAAAUUAUAUAGAUGUAUGAUAAUUGAGACUGAGCUAAUAGAUGAGAAUCCUAGUCAUUGGCCAAGCAGCUUUGUAACUUGUACAAGUCUCUCUGUGUAUUCAUUUGGGCCUGACUGGGGCGGGCAGCUGGCGUAAAGCUCACAUGUGGCAGUGGGACUCAGGCAGCUUUUGGUGGAAAGAUUUAUCGUAACGUGUGUGUGUGUGUGUGUGUGUGUGUGUGUGUGUGUUUGUACUGGAUGGAUUACUGUGUCAUAUUAAGCAUUAAUGUCAUAAAAAGGGGAAACUUUAUUAGAAUUUAUUGUACUUCUUUAAAGCAUUGAAAAUAUGCUGGUAUAUCCAUACAUUCCACAUUUCAUAUAGUGCUUUCUGUAAAUACAGGUGUCAUCAACAUAAAGAAAUGGUAAUAAUUAAUUGACAGCAGAAGCAGGAAAUAAAGACAAUUUUACAAGCAAUAAUGAGAUGUGUGAAAUUUUUCCAAAUUGCCGG